UCGCGGCUACACAUGCAAGUCGAACGGAAAGGCCCUGCUUUUGUGGGGUGCUCGAGUGGCGAACGGGUUGAGUAACACGUGAGUAACCUGCCCUUGACUUUGGGAUAACUUCAGGAAACUGGGGCUAAUACCGGAUAGGAGCUCCUGCUGCAUGGUGGGGGUUGGAAAGUUUCGGCGGUUGGGGAUGGACUCGCGGCUUAUCAGCUUGUUGGUGGGGUAGUGGCUUACCAAGGCUUUGACGGGUAGCCGGCCUGAGAGGGCGACCGGCCACAUUGGGACUGAGAUACGGCCCAGACUCCUACGGGAGGCAGCAGUGGGGAAUAUUGCACAAUGGGCGGAAGCCUGAUGCAGCAACGCCGCGUGCGGGAUGACGGCCUUCGGGUUGUAAACCGCUUUCGCCUGUGACGAAGCGUGAGUGACGGUAAUGGGUAAAGAAGCACCGGCUAACUACGUGCCAGCAGCCGCGGUGAUACGUAGGGUGCGAGCGUUGUCCGGAUUUAUUGGGCGUAAAGGGCUCGUAGGUGGUUGAUCGCGUCGGAAGUGUAAUCUUGGGGCUUAACCCUGAGCGUGCUUUCGAUACGGGUUGACUUGAGGAAGGUAGGGGAGAAUGGAAUUCCUGGUGGAGCGGUGGAAUGCGCAGAUAUCAGGAGGAACACCAGUGGCGAAGGCGGUUCUCUGGGCCUUUCCUGACGCUGAGGAGCGAAAGCGUGGGGAGCGAACAGGCUUAGAUACCCUGGUAGUCCACGCUGUAACCGGUGGGUACUAGGUGUGGGGUCCAUUCCACGGGUUCCGUGCCGUAGCUAACGCUUUAAGUACCCCGCCUGGGGAGUACGGCCGCAAGGCUAAA
rnacentral:rRNA from 1 species